rnacentral:lncRNA from 1 species
UCAAGUUCAAUAGAAUAAAGACCCCAUACUACAUAUGAACCUCAUGAUUGUAAUAGCAUGAACCCAAUGCUUGGUUUCUUCGGCUCCCCCCUGAUCACAGGAACUACUGUAUCAAAAACAUCACCAAGCUUUCUCAAACCUACUACACUUCACCCAACCAGUAUAGCGCUGGUACCACCACCGACUGCACCUGUGCUUCCUUUCAUCUCCCCAGGCUCUUCCAGAGAGGAUAAAUGAGUUGAUUUGAUAUCCAGCGCAACCUCGAGCCGCUGUUCCUCAGACUUGCUCCAG